UGUUCUUAAGAAUGUGGCUUUGCUCUCAGUGAGAUGACCCAGUAUGGCGGUUGCUCCUCUCUCUGAACGACUGCGGAGCCGAUGAUUUUACCGUCGGUUUAUAAAACAAUCGCGUAUGUUGGAAAUUUUAGCUCAUUAGUUUGAGAACGAGGUUUUGCUCUCAGUGAGAUUGAAGGUUUUAGGGCGGUUGACUUCGUCUCUCUGAUAAAAAGCGGAGCCUGUGAUUUAUCUUCUUAUUUGCCAACAGCUCCUUCUCCCUCUACAGACAGAGAGGCCAAAUGCAUAAAUCUACCCUCAACUUUGCACUUCUACCCUUUGUUUGGAUGGAAUGAUUGGAAGUUUUAGUAACUUAAUGAGGUUAUGAUGAUAUUAUCAGUGACCUAAAAUCAGAUUAGAAAAGAAACACCCAUCCUCUGGCGGGGUAGGCUUUUUGAAGCAGCGGCUUUAACUCCACUCGUGGUUCCUGAACUUAGACAGCCUUUGGCAGUCCUUAAAUAUGGGUUUCACCCUAUUUCCUGGUAGCUAUUGGCUGCAGCCAUGAUGUGGUGUUGUUUCUUUCUUGUUUGAUACUAGGGCUAUCUGAUCUCAGCCUCCAUUUCUCCAAAUAUCUUUGUUUAGGUUCUGUUUGUUUCGGGGAGAUAUUUCAAGUGAAGGGUGAGGCUUAGCUCUUGGAGAGCUACUCUGACUGAUUGCAGAGCUGACCCUUAUUUGUCAAUAUCUAUACCUAUCUUUUUCUAUCAUCUCUUUCUUUGUCUUGUGGGUCUAUGCAUGGCUGUGAUGAUGCUGUUAUUUUUUUAAUGAAAAUCGGACAAUUGGAUGAACACUA